GAUGAACGCUGGCGGCGUGCCUAAUACAUGCAAGUCGAGUGAACAGACGAGGAGCUUGCUCCUCUGACGUUAGCGGCGGACGGGUGAGUAACACGUGGAUAACCUACCUAUAAGACUGGGAUAACUUCGGGAAACCGGAGCUAAUACCGGAUAAUAUAUUGAACCGCAUGGUUCAAUAGUGAAAGACGGUUUUGCUGUCACUUAUAGAUGGAUCCGCGCCGCAUUAGCUAGUUGGUAAGGUAACGGCCUACCAAGGCGACGAUGCGUAGCCGACCUGAGAGGGUGAUCGGCCACACUGGAACUGAGACACGGUCCAGACUCCUACGGGAGGCAGCAGUAGGGAAUCUUCCGCAAUGGGCGAAAGCCUGACGGAGCAACGCCGCGUGAGUGAUGAAGGUCUUCGGAUCGUAAAACUCUGUUAUUAGGGAAGAACAAAUGUGUAAGUAACUAUGCACGUCUUGACGGUACCUAAUCAGAAAGCCACGGCUAACUACGUG
rnacentral:rRNA from 1 species